rnacentral:rRNA from 1 species
CCCUUCGGGGUGUGACUGCGUACCUUUUGUAUAAUGGGUCAGCGACUUAUAUUCUGUAGCAAGGUUAACCGUAUAGGGGAGCCGUAGGGAAACCGAGUCUUAACCGGGCGUUAAGUUGCAGGGUAUAGACCCGAAACCCGGUGAUCUAGCCAUGGGCAGGUUGAAGGUUGGGUAACACUAACUGGAGGACCGAACCGACUAAUGUUGAAAAAUUAGCGGAUGACCUGUGGCUGGGGGUGAAAGGCCAAUCAAACCGGGAGAUAGCUGGUUCUCCCCGAAAGCUAUUUAGGUAGCGCCUCGUGAAUUCAUCUCCGGGGGUAGAGCACUGUUUCGGCUAGGGGGCCAUCCCGGCUUACCAACCCGAUGCAAACUGCGAAUACCGGAGAAUGUUAUCACGGGAGACACACGGCGGGUGCUAACGUCCGUCGUGAAGAGGGAAACAACCCAGACCGCCAGCUAAGGUCCCAAAGUCAUGGUUAAGUGGGAAACGAUGUGGGAAGGCCCAGACAGCCAGGAUGUUGGCUUAGAAGCAGCCAUCAUUUAAAGAAAGCGUAAUAGCUCACUGGUCGAGUCGGCCUGCGCGGAAGAUGUAACGGGGCUAAACCAUGCACCGAAGCUGCGGCAGCGACACUGUGUGUUGUUGGGUAGGGGAGCGUUCUGUAAGCCUGUGAAGGUGGCCUGUGAGGGUUGCUGGAGGUAUCAGAAGUGCGAAUGCUGACAUAAGUAACGAUAAAGCGGGUGAAAAGCCCGCUCGCCGGAAGACCAAGGGUUCCUGUCCAACGUUAAUCGGGGCAGGGUGAGUCGACCCCUAAGGCGAGGCCGAAAGGCGUAGUCGAUGGGAAACGGGUUAAUAUUCCCGUACUUGGUGUUACUGCGAAGGGGGGACGGAGAAGGCUAUGUUGGCCGGGCGACGGUUGUCCCGGUUUAAGCGUGUAGGUGUGUGUUCCAGGUAAAUCCGGUUCACUUUAACACUGAGGCGUGACGACGAGGCACUACGGUGCUGAAGCAACAAAUGCCCUGCUUCCAGGAAAAGCCUCUAAGCAUCAGGUAACAUCAAAUCGUACCCCAAACCGACACAGGUGGUCAGGUAGAGAAUACCAAGGCGCUUGAGAGAACUCGGGUGAAGGAACUAGGCAAAAUGGUGCCGUAACUUCGGGAGAAGGCACGCUGACACGUAGGUGAAGUGAUUUACUCACGGAGCUGAAGUCAGUCGAAGAUACCAGCUGGCUGCAACUGUUUAUUAAAAACACAGCACUGUGCAAACACGAAAGUGGACGUAUACGGUGUGACGCCUGCCCGGUGCCGGAAGGUUAAUUGAUGGGGUCAGCGCAAGCGAAGCUCCUGAUCGAAGCCCCGGUAAACGGCGGCCGUAACUAUAACGGUCCUAAGGUAGCGAAAUUCCUUGUCGGGUAAGUUCCGACCUGCACGAAUGGCGUAAUGAUGGCCAGGCUGUCUCCACCCGAGACUCAGUGAAAUUGAACUCGCUGUGAAGAUGCAGUGUACCCGCGGCAAGACGGAAAGACCCCGUGAACCUUUACUAUAGCUUGACACUGAACAUUGAGCCUUGAUGUGUAGGAUAGGUGGGAGGCUUUGAAGUGUGGACGCCAGUCUGCAUGGAGCCGACCUUGAAAUACCACCCUUUAAUGUUUGAUGUUCUAACGUGGACCCGUAAUCCGGGUUGCGGACAGUGUCUGGUGGGUAGUUUGACUGGGGCGGUCUCCUCCUAAAGAGUAACGGAGGAGCACGAAGGUUGGCUAAUCCUGGUCGGACAUCAGGAGGUUAGUGCAAUGGCAUAAGCCAGCUUGACUGCGAGCGUGACGGCGCGAGCAGGUGCGAAAGCAGGUCAUAGUGAUCCGGUGGUUCUGAAUGGAAGGGCCAUCGCUCAACGGAUAAAAGGUACUCCGGGGAUAACAGGCUGAUACCGCCCAAGAGUUCAUAUCGACGGCGGUGUUUGGCACCUCGAUGUCGGCUCAUCACAUCCUGGGGCUGAAGUAGGUCCCAAGGGUAUGGCUGUUCGCCAUUUAAAGUGGUACGCGAGCUGGGUUUAGAACGUCGUGAGACAGUUCGGUCCCUAUCUGCCGUGGGCGCUGGAGAACUGAGGGGGGCUGCUCCUAGUACGAGAGGACCGGAGUGGACGCAUCACUGGUGUUCGGGUUGUCAUGCCAAUGGCACUGCCCGGUAGCUAAAUGCGGAAGAGAUAAGUGCUGAAAGCAUCUAAGCACGAAACUUGCCCCGA